rnacentral:rRNA from 1 species
GGUUAAGCGACUAAGCGUACACGGUGGAUGCCCUGGCAGUCAGAGGCGAUGAAGGACGUGCUAAUCUGCGAAAAGCGUCGGUAAGGUGAUAUGAACCGUUACAGCCGGCGAUGUCCGAAUGGGGAAACCCAGUGCAAUUCGUUGCACUAUCGUUAACUGAAUACAUAGGUUAACGAGGCGAACCGGGGGAACUGAAACAUCUAAGUACCCCGAGGAAAAGAAAUCAACCGAGAUUCCCCCAGUAGCGGCGAGCGAACGGGGAGCAGCCCAGAGUCUGAAUCAGCUUGUGUGUUAGUGGAACGGUCUGGAAAGUCCGACGGUACAGGGUGAUAGUCCCGUACACCAAAAUGCACAGGCUGUGAACUCGAAGAGUAGGGCGGGACACGUGGUAUCCUGUCUGAAUAUGGGGGGACCAUCCUCCAAGGCUAAAUACUCCUGACUGACCGAUAGUGAACCAGUACCGUGAGGGAAAGGCGAAAAGAACCCCGGCGAGGGGAGUGAAAAAGAACCUGAAACCGUGUACGUACAAGCAGUGGGAGCACCUUCGGGUGUGACUGCGUACCUUUUGUAUAAUGGGUCAGCGACUUAUAUUCUGUAGCAAGGUUAACCGUAUAGGGGAGCCGCAGGGAAACCGAGUCUUAACUGGGCGUUAAGUUGCAGGGUAUAGACCCGAAACCCGGUGAUCUAGCCAUGGGCAGGUUGAAGGUUGGGUAACACUAACUGGAGGACCGAACCGACUAAUGUUGAAAAAUUAGCGGAUGACUUGUGGCUGGGGGUGAAAGGCCAAUCAAACCGGGAGAUAGCUGGUUCUCCCCGAAAGCUAUUUAGGUAGCGCCUCGUGAACUCAUCUUCGGGGGUAGAGCACUGUUUCGGCUAGGGGGUCAUCCCGACUUACCAACCCGAUGCAAACUACGAAUACCGAAGAAUGUUAUCACGGGAGACACACGGCGGGUGCUAACGUCCGUCGUGAAGAGGGAAACAACCCAGACCGCCAGCUAAGGUCCCAAAGUCAUGGUUAAGUGGGAAACGAUGUGGGAAGGCACAGACAGCCAGGAUGUUGGCUUAGAAGCAGCCAUCAUUUAAAGAAAGCGUAAUAGCUCACUGGUCGAGUCGGCCUGCGCGGAAGAUGUAACGGGGCUAAACCAUGCACCGAAGCUGCGGCAGCGACACUAUGUGUUGUUGGGUAGGGGAGCGUUCUGUAAGCCUGCGAAGGUGUGCUGUGAGGCAUGCUGGAGGUAUCAGAAGUGCGAAUGCUGACAUAAGUAACGAUAAAGCGGGUGAAAAGCCCGCUCGCCGGAAGACCAAGGGUUCCUGUCCAACGUUAAUCGGGGCAGGGUGAGUCGACCCCUAAGGCGAGGCCGAAAGGCGUAGUCGAUGGGAAACAGGUUAAUAUUCCUGUACUUGGUGUUACUGCGAAGGGGGGACGGAGAAGGCUAUGUUAGCCGGGCGACGGUUGUCCCGGUUUAAGCAUGUAGGCUGGUUGUCCAGGCAAAUCCGGAUAAUCAAGGCUGAGGUGUGAUGACGAGGCACUACGGUGCUGAAGUAACAAAUGCCCUGCUUCCAGGAAAAGCCUCUAAGCAUCAGGUAACAUCAAAUCGUACCCCAAACCGACACAGGUGGUCAGGUAGAGAAUACCAAGGCGCUUGAGAGAACUCGGGUGAAGGAACUAGGCAAAAUGGUGCCGUAACUUCGGGAGAAGGCACGCUGGUGUGUAGGUGAAGUCCCUGCGGAUGGAGCUGAGACCAGUCGAAGAUACCAGCUGGCUGCAACUGUUUAUUAAAAACACAGCACUGUGCAAACACGAAAGUGGACGUAUACGGUGUGACGCCUGCCCGGUGCCGGAAGGUUAAUUGAUGGGGUUAUCCGUAAGGAGAAGCUCUUGAUCGAAGCCCCGGUAAACGGCGGCCGUAACUAUAACGGUCCUAAGGUAGCGAAAUUCCUUGUCGGGUAAGUUCCGACCUGCACGAAUGGCGUAAUGAUGGCCAGGCUGUCUCCACCCGAGACUCAGUGAAAUUGAACUCGCUGUGAAGAUGCAGUGUACCCGCGGCAAGACGGAAAGACCCCGUGAACCUUUACUAUAGCUUGACACUGAACAUUGAGCCUUGAUGUGUAGGAUAGGUGGGAGGCUUUGAAGCGUGGACGCCAGUCUGCGUGGAGCCAACCUUGAAAUACCACCCUUUAAUGUUUGAUGUUCUAACGUUGGCCCCUUACCGGGGUUGCGGACAGUGUCUGGUGGGUAGUUUGACUGGGGCGGUCUCCUCCCAAAGCGUAACGGAGGAGCACGAAGGUUAGCUAAUCCUGGUCGGACAUCAGGAGGUUAGUGCAAUGGCAUAAGCUAGCUUGACUGCGAGCGUGACGGCGCGAGCAGGUGCGAAAGCAGGUCAUAGUGAUCCGGUGGUUCUGAAUGGAAGGGCCAUCGCUCAACGGAUAAAAGGUACUCCGGGGAUAACAGGCUGAUACCGCCCAAGAGUUCAUAUCGACGGCGGUGUUUGGCACCUCGAUGUCGGCUCAUCACAUCCUGGGGCUGAAGUAGGUCCCAAGGGUAUGGCUGUUCGCCAUUUAAAGUGGUACGCGAGCUGGGUUUAGAACGUCGUGAGACAGUUCGGUCCCUAUCUGCCGUGGGCGCUGGAGAAUUGAGGGGGGCUGCUCCUAGUACGAGAGGACCGGAGUGGACGCAUCACUGGUGUUCGGGUUGUCAUGCCAAUGGCACUGCCCGGUAGCUAAAUGCGGAAGAGAUAAGUGCUGAAAGCAUCUAAGCACGAAACUUGCCCCGAGAUGAGUUCUCCCUGAGACUUUAAGUCUCCUGAAGGAACGUUGAAGACGACGACGUUGAUAGGCCGGGUGUGUAAGCGCAGCGAUGCGUUGAGCUAACCGGUACUAAUGAACCGUGAGGCUUAACCUU